UACGUAGGUGGCGAGCGUUGUCCGGAAUUACUGGGUGUAAAGGGAGCGUAGGCGGGAGCGCAAGUUUACUGUUUAAUCUAUCGGCUCAACCGGUAUCAGCGGUAAAAACUGCGUUUCUUGAGUGAAGUAGAGGUAGGCGGAAUUCCUAGUGUAGCGGUGAAAUGCGUAGAGAUUAGGAGGAACACCAGUGGCGAAGGCGGCCUACUGGGCUUUAACUGACGCUGAGGCUCGAAAGCGUGGGGAGCAAACAGGAUUAGAUACCCGGGUAGUCCCUGAGCGGGCU
rnacentral:rRNA from 1 species